rnacentral:rRNA from 1 species
AGGAUAAACGCUGGCGGCGUGCCUUAUGCAUGCAAGUCGAACGGUCUUUCCGCUUUCGGGCGGAAAGGUAGUGGCGAACGGGUGAGUAACACGUAUGUAACCUGUCCGGAAGUGGGGAAUAACCCUCCGAAGGGAGAGCUAAUUCCGCAUGUGGUCGCCGGUGAGAGACCGGUGGACAAAAGCUUUUUGCGCUUCCGGAGGGGCGUGCGGCCGAUUAGCUUGUUGGUGGGGUAACGGCUCACCAAGGCGACGAUCGGUAGCUGGUCUGAGAGGACGGCCAGUCACACGGGGGACUGAGACACGGCCCCGACUCCUACGGGAGCAGCAGCAAGGAUUUGCGCAAUGGGCGAAAGCCUGACGCAGCAACGCCGCGGUGGGGGAUGGAAGGCUCGUCGGGUCGUAAACCCCUUUUGCGAGGGGAAGUAACGUGACCGGUACCCUGACGAAUAAGCCGACGGCUAACUACGUGCCCGAGCCACGCCGC